rnacentral:lncRNA from 1 species
AGGCGGGGCUCCGGGAAACGGGCGGCAAGGCCCCCUCGAUUGGGCUGCUCAACGUUGUCGGGCCACGACGCUGUAAGGCGCGUGCCGAUUGGUCCGUUCGGCUCCCGAGCCCAGCCCCGCCGGGGGUGGGAUGUCUCCAGAGUGAGUGUUCCGGAGAGCACGUGUUAGGGAAGGAGGAGGCUGCGGGCUAACCUGCCGGGAGGGAGGAUGCUGCUGCCUGUUUCCUAUUAGUGACAACCCACCUCCUAAUCACGUCCUGCUUCAAACAAGAACACUGCCCCUUCCACCUGCGAAGAUGAAGAGUUCAAAGUCCCAGCCAGUUACUACAUUCAGCUCAAAAAACGAGACCUACAAGACUCCAUGGCCGAGUUAAUCGCUGAUGGAGCCUGAACUGAACCCAAAGCCUUCCGGUGAUUCUGAUCACACACUUGGAGCGGCUAGAGAAGACCUAGACAGAUAUAGUCAUCAAAUGGAAAAAUCCUCAACAUCCUUGUGAAUGGCAGCAUGUGAAGGUAAAUCAGGGGUUGGGGUGGUCACCCAUAGACAGCAUUAUGAAUUCUUAUUAUUGUUAA